rnacentral:rRNA from 1 species
CCUACGGGAGGCAGCAGUAGGGAAUAUUGCACAAUGGGCGAAAGCCUGAUGCAGCGACGCCGCGUGAGGGAAGAAGGCCUUCGGGUUGUAAACCUCUGUUACCCGGGACGAACACUGACGUUACCGGGGGAGGAAGCUCCGGCUAACUACGUGCCAGCAGCCGCGGUAAUAAUCACU